rnacentral:rRNA from 1 species
CCUACGGGAGGCAGCAGUGAGGAAUAUUGGUCAAUGGCCGGAAGGCUGAACCAGCCAUGCCGCGUGAAGGUCAGUGCCCUAUGGGCGUUAAACUUCUUUUUUGCGGGAGUAAUAAUGGUCACGUGUGGCCAGACGAGAGUACCGUACGAAUAAGCAUCGGCUAACUCCGUGCCAGCCGCCGCGGUAAUACGGGGGAUGCAAGCGUUAUCCGGAUUUAUUGGGUUUAAAGGGUGCGUAGGCUGGGAGGUAAGUCAGCUGUGAAAUGCCACCGGUCAACGGGGUGAAGUGCCAUUGAUACUGGCUGGCUGGAGUGCGGAUGCGGUGGGAGGAAUGUGUGGUGUAGCGGUGAAAUGCAUAGAGAUCACACAGAACACCGAUUGCGAAGGCAUCUCACGAAUCCGCGAUUGACGCUGAUGCACGAAAGCGUGGGUAUCAAACAGGAUUAGAUACCCUUGUAGUC